rnacentral:rRNA from 1 species
AACGAACGCUGGCGGCAUGCCUAACACAUGCAAGUCGAACGAGACCGUCGGGUCUAGUGGCGCACGGGUGCGUAACGCGUGGGAACCUGCCCUUAGGUUCGGAAUAACUCCCCGAAAGGGGUGCUAAUACCGGAUAAUGUCUUCGGACCAAAGAUUUAUCGCCUUUGGAUGGGCCCGCGUUGGAUUAGCUAGUUGGUAGGGUAAAAGCCUACCAAGGCGACGAUCCAUAGCUGGUCUGAGAGGAUGAUCAGCCACACUGGGACUGAGACACGGCCCAGACUCCUACGGGAGGCAGCAGUGGGGAAUAUUGGACAAUGGGCGAAAGCCUGAUCCAGCAAUGCCGCGUGAGUGAUGAAGGCCGUAGGGUUGUAAAGCUCUUUUAACCGGGAUGAUAAUGACAGUACCGGGAGAAUAAGCUCCGGCUAACUACGUG